rnacentral:tRNA from 1 species
GGGUGUGACUCAGUUGGCAGAGUAUUUGUCUAGCGUGCAGGAAGCCUAGGUUUGAUUCCCAGCACUC